GGGGUUGUAGCUCAGUAGUAGAGUGCUUGCCUAGCAUGUGUGAGGUUCUGGGUUCGAUCCCCAGCACCA
rnacentral:tRNA from 1 species